rnacentral:rRNA from 1 species
UACCUGCAGCUCAAGUGGUGGCCGCUAUUAUUGGGCCUAAAACGUCCGUAGCCUGUUUAGUAAAUGCUUGGGUAAAUUGUAUAGCUUAACUAUACGAAUACCGAGUAGACUGCUAGACUUGGGACCGGGAGAGGCUAGAGGUACUCCUGGGGUAGAGGUGAAAUUCUGUAAUCCUAGGGGGACCACCAGUGGCGAAGGCGUCUAGCUAGAACGGGUCUGACGGUGAGGGACGAAGCCCUGGGGCGCAAACCGGAUUAGAUACCCGGGUAGUCCAGGGUGUAAACGCUGCUUGCUUGAUGUUAGUUGGGCUCCGAGCCCAACUAGUGUCGGAGAGAAGUUGUUUAGCAAGCUGCCUGGGAAGUACGGUCGCAAGACUGAAACUUAAAGGAAUUGGCGGGGAGCACAGCAACGGGUGGAGCGUGCGGUUU